rnacentral:lncRNA from 1 species
CAACCCAAUAUUUUCAAUGAUUGGGUGAAGUUUCCAGAAACUAUACAAGAGAUGGAAUCUUUACGUCGAAGUUUCCAGGUGUCAUUGGUUUAGCAGAUUGCACGCACGUUGCUAUAGCGGCUCCAACGGGGAACGAAUAUCCGGAACAUAUUUAUGUGAAUAGGAAGCAUUAUCAUUCAAUCAAUGUUCAGUUGAUCUGCAAUGAAAAACUGGAAAUAAUGAAUGUUGAUGGACGUUUCCAAGGAAGCUGCCAUUAUAU